AUUGAACGCUGGCGGCAGGCCUAACACAUGCAAGUCGAGCGGCAGCGACAGUAACAAUCCUUCGGGUGCGUUAUUGGGCGGCGAGCGGCGGACGGGUGAGUAAUGCCUGGGAAUAUGCCUUAGUGUGGGGGAUAACUAUUGGAAACGAUAGCUAAUACCGCAUAAUGCCUACGGGCCAAAGAGGGGGACCUUCGGGCCUCUCGCGCUAAGAUUAGCCCAGGUGGGAUUAGCUAGUUGGUGGGGUAAAGGCUCACCAAGGCGACGAUCCCUAGCUGGUCUGAGAGGAUGAUCAGCCACACUGGAACUGAGACACGGUCCAG
rnacentral:rRNA from 1 species